rnacentral:siRNA from 1 species
UUGUUAGUUAUAAAACAUGUCUCU